rnacentral:rRNA from 1 species
AGGACGAACGCUGGCGGCGUGCCUAACACAUGCAAGUGGAGCGACGAACCAGGCUUCGGCCUGGGGCAAAGCCGCGAACGGGUGAGUAACACGUGGGUAACCUGCCCUGAUGAUUGGGACAACCCGAGGAAACUCGGGCUAAUACCAAAUGUGACCUUCGGCCAUAAGGCCGCUGGGGAAAGGAAGCUUCGGCCUCCGCAUCGGGAUGGGCCCGCGGCCCAUUAGCUUGUUGGUGAGGUAACGGCUCACCAAGGCUACGAUGGGUAGCUGGUCUGAGAGGACGAUCAGCCACACUGGGACUGAGACACGGCCCAGACUCCUACGGGAGGCAGCAGUGGGGGAAUCUUGCGCAAUGCGCGAAAGCGUGACGCAGCAACGCCGCGUGGGGGAAGAAGGCUUUCGGGUUGUAAACCCUUUCAGUUGGGACGAAGCUUCGCCGGUGAAUAGCCGGCUGGAGUGACGGUACCUUCAGAAGAAGCCCGGCUAACUACGCGCCAGCAGCCGCGGUAAU